UACGUAGGUCCCGAGCGUUGUCCGGAUUUAUUUGGCGUAAAGCGAGCGCAGGUGGUUUAUUAAGUCUGGUGUAAAAGGCAGUGGCUCAACCAUUGUAUGCAUUGGAAACUGGUAGACUUGAGUGCAGGAGAGGAGAGUGGAAUUCCAUGUGUAGCGGUGAAAUGCGUAGAUAUGUGGAGGAACACCGGUGGCGAAAGCGGCUCUCUGGCCUGUAAUUGACACUGAGGCUCGAAAGCGUGGGGAGCAAACAGG
rnacentral:rRNA from 1 species